GCCCGCCAGAGAACUACAAGCGCACCGCUUCAAACCCAAAGGACUUGACGGUGUCCCAUACCAACCUAGAGGAGCCUGUCCUAUAAUCGACACUCCCCGUUCAACCUCUCCCACUCUCGCACCACAGCCUAUAUACCGCCGUCGUCAGUCCACCUAAUGAUAGUUUUUCAUAGCCGACACAAUAGUUUAUCACAAAAACGUCAGGUCAAGGUGUAGCUAAUGGGUGGGUCAGAGAUGGGCUACAUUUCCAAUAAUAGGAACCACCAAACACAGCAUGAAAUAUAGGUCAAAAGAUGGAUUUAGCAGUAAGCACGGAUAAGACAUACCCUCCUGAA
rnacentral:rRNA from 1 species